rnacentral:rRNA from 1 species
AGUAAUACAUAGGCAACCUGCCUUUAUGAGGGGGAGUAACCGAGGGAAACUUUGGCUAAUACCGCAUGAAGACUCUAAAGGCAUCUUAGAGGGAGUAAAAAGUUGGGAAACAACGCAUGAAGAUGGGCUUAUGGCGCAUUAGCUAGUUGGUGAGAUAGAAGCCCACCAAGGUAAUGAUGCGUAGCCGACCUGAGAGGGUGAACGGCCACAUUGGGACUGAGACACGGCCCAAACUCCUACGGGAGGCAGCAGUAGGGAAUAUUUGGGGCAAUGGGGGCAACCCUGACCCAGCGACGCCGCGUGGGGGAAGACGGCCUUCGGGUUGUAAACCUCUUUUGUACGGGAAGAAGGAAGUGACGGUACUGUACGAAUAAGUCCCGGCUAACUACGUGCCAGCAGCCGC